rnacentral:rRNA from 1 species
AACGUACGCUGGCGGCACGCCUAAUACAUGCAAGUCGAACGAAGUAGCAAUACUUAGUGGCAGACGGGUGAGUAACAUGUAGGUAUCUUCCCUUUGGUGAGGAAUAACACGAGGAAACUUGUGCUAAUACCUCAUAAGUCUUUACGGAGAAAGCUUUAUGCGCCGAUGGAUGAGCCUGCACUUGAUUAGUUUGUUGGUGGGGUAAUGGCCUACCAAGACUAUGAUCAAUAGCUGAUUUGAGAGGAUGAUCAGCCACAUUGGGACUGAGACACGGCCCAAACUCCUACGGGAGGCAGCAGUAGGGAAUCUUGCACAAUGGGGGAAACCCUGAUGCAGCGAUGCCGCGUGAGUGAAGAAGGCCUUUGGGUUGUAAAGCUCUUUCGUCGGGGAAGAAAAUGACUGUACCCGAAUAAGAAGGUCCGGCUAACUUCGUGCCAGCCGCCGCCGUAACAC